GAUGAACGCUGGCGGCGUGCCUAAUACAUGCAAGUCGAGCGAACGGACGAGAAGCUUGCUUCUCUGACGUUAGCGGCGGACGGGUGAGUAACACGUGGAUAACCUACCUAUAAGACUGGGAUAACUUCGGGAAACCGGAGCUAAUACCGGAUAAUAUUUUGAAACGCAUGGUUCAAAAGUGAAAGACGGUCUUGCUGUCACUUAUAGAUGGAUCCGCGCUGCAUUAGCUAGUUGGUAAGGUAACGGCUUACCAAGGCAACGAUGCGUAGCUGACCUGAGAGGAUGAUCGGCCACACUGGAACUGAGACACGGUCCAGACUCCUACGGGAGGCAGCAGUAGGGAAUCUUCCGCAAUGGGCGAAAGCCUGACGGAGCAACGCCGCGUGAGUGAUGAAGGUCUUCGGAUCGUAAAACUCUGUUAUUAGGGAAGAACAUAUGUGUAAGUAACUGUGCACAUCUUGACGGUACCUAAUCAGAAAGCCACGGCUAACUACGUG
rnacentral:rRNA from 1 species